UGGGGAAUAUUGCACAAUGGGCGAAAGCCUGAUGCAGCGACGCCGCGUGAGGGAUGACGGCCUUCGGGUUGUAAACCUCUUUCAGCAGGGAAGAAGCGAAAGUGACGGUACCUGCAGAAGAAGCGCCGGCUAACUACGUGCCAGCAGCCGCGGUAAUACGUAGGGCGCAAGCGUUGUCCGGAAUUAUUGGGCGUAAAGAGCUCGUAGGCGGUUAGUCGCGUCUGCUGUGAAAACUCGAGGCUCAACCUCGGGCUUGCAGUGGGUACGGGCUGACUAGAGUGCGGUAGGGGUGACUGGAAUUCCUGGUGUAGCGGUGGAAUGCGCAGAUAUCAGGAGGAACACCGAUGGCGAAGGCAGGUCACUGGGCCGCAACUGACGCUGAGGAGCGAAAGCAUGGGGAGCGAACAGGAUUAGAUACCCUGGUAGUCCAUGCCGUAAACGUUGGGCACUAGGUGUGGGGUCCAUUUCCACGGAUUCCGUGCCGCAGCAAACGCAUUAAGUGCCCCGCCUGGGGAGUACGGCCGCAAGGCUAAAACUUAAAGGAAAUGAC
rnacentral:rRNA from 1 species